UGGGGAAUAUUGGACAAUGGGGGGAACCCUGAUCCGGCCAUGCCGCGUGUGUGAAGAAGGCCUUAUGGUUGUAAAGCACUUUAAGCGAGGAGGAGGGUACUGGUAUUAAUACUACCAGGUACUGGACGUUACUCGCAGAAUAAGCACCGGCUAACUCUGUGCCAGCAGCCGCGGUAAUACAGAGGGUGCGAGCGUUAAUCGGAUUUACUGGGCGUAAAGCGUGCGUAGGCGGCUAAUUGAGUCGGAUGUGAAAUCCCCGAGCUUAACUUGGGAAUUGCAUUCGAUACUGGUUAGCUAGAGUGUGGGAGAGGAUGGUAGAAUUCCAGGUGUAGCGGUGAAAUGCGUAGAGAUCUGGAGGAAUACCGAUGGCGAAGGCAGCCAUCUGGCCUAACACUGACGCUGAGGUACGAAAGCAUGGGGAGCAAACAGG
rnacentral:rRNA from 1 species